rnacentral:rRNA from 1 species
UACGAAGGGAGCUAGCGUUGUUCGGAAUUACUGGGCGUAAAGGGCGCGUAGGCGGUUUAACAAGUUGGGUGUGAAAGCCCAGGGCUCAACCCUGGAACGGCACCCAAGACUGUUUUACUUGAAUUCGGUAGAGGUUAGUGGAAUUCCCAGUGUAGAGGUGAAAUUCGUAGAGAUUGGGAAGAAUAUCCGUGGCGAAGGCGGCUAACUGGACCGACAUUGACGCUGAGGCGCGAAAGCGUGGGGAGCAAACAGG